AACCUCAUCAACCAGAAGGGAUUCCUUCCAGUCGAUGAGGUUGUUACACCUCAUCAACCGGAAGGAAACCUUUCCGGUUGAUGAGGUU
rnacentral:miRNA from 1 species